AGUUGGUAUUGAGUUUUCGGAGCACAAACACUAAAAGUUGACAAACUACCGCUAGUUUGUAGUACAAAUGAGCAACGCUCGACCACAACUCAUACUUAAACAGCUAUAGUAUUGCUUAUGUUCAUAUACAAAGAAACUUUUUCCACCCCGUUGUUGAUUUUGCUCGAAUAAAUUACGGUGAUUCUGGUGUUUAAUAACGUAUAAAAAUUUAAAAGUCACUCAACUCAGAAUGCAAAUGAAAAAUUUGUAAUUUGUACCAGUUUAAUUGUAUGAAUGUAUUUAAAUGAAAUAAAUUAGUUUAAAUGGAGUGAGAAGGAAUUAUGGCGCCUGAUUUCACCAUCAUAUUGAGGCAAUAGAAAGUGAAAGUAUUUGAGACCUUAUAGAAAUCGAUUAAAUAUGUAUACGAGUAUAUGUAUAUUAAUUAAUGCGUAUCUAAAUAAUUCAACAUUAUUACCAAAUUAAGAAUAACUUCUUACAAUUCUUUGAAAAAUUUAAGAAGUAUGGUUACACGAGCAUCUAGUGUGCCCCAUUUGAAUAACAGUGGCGGAAGCAGUAAUGAAAGCGCCGCCGGUAGCGCGUCCGGAUCUAACGGUCGUCGAAGUCGCCUGCCGAAUUCGCGUACACGAUAUGUGGACAAAAGUGUUACGUCCAUUCAGACACGCAGUACACCGGGGAGCAUGCCGCGUUCUCGAAGUCUCACUCAUGGAAUGCAAAGAGUCACUCCUCAAAAGUCAUCCGAUAAUUCAGGUAGUGUGGGCUCAAGAAACACCCCAGUCUUUUUACGUUCCAGGGAAAACGAAAUUGGUAGCGCGGACACCUUGGAAAUAGUGGCCUCGAAAUCCACUGGCAGUGAACCCUCAACACCGGAGGACAACAUAAACGUUGUGGUCAGGGUGCGACCGCUUAAUGAGAAAGAAAAACGAGAUAGAUAUGGCAUGAUUCUUCAGUUCCCUGGAAAUGGACAAAUUAUUAUCGAAAGCAGUGAAAGAAACAACAAGAGGUCACGAAAUCAAGAGAAUGUUCAUGUAUUUACUUAUAAUGUUGUAUUUGAACCCGGAGCGACUCAGGAGGAUAUUUUAGAUUAUUCAGGUAUCAAACGCAUCAUCGACAUGGCAAUUGAAGGAUUUAGCUGUACUGCGUUUUGUUAUGGACAAACCGGAUCCGGAAAAACUCAUACGCUGACUGGUCCACCUGAGCUGUUUCGCGGCAAACCGAAUCCAAACGAUCCCCGACAUGGUCUAAUCUUCCGGUCGUUUUUGUACCUCUUCCAGUUGAUAAAAAAUCGAAAGGACGUAAAUCAUGUAUUGAAAGCAUCUUUUCUUGAAAUCUACAAUGAACGAGUGAUUGAUUUAUUGAAUCCAGGAUCAGCGAAAAAGUCGCUGGCAGUCCGUUGGUCGAAAAAAUCCCGAGGCUUUUUUGUAGAGAACCUUUUCACUGUCGAUUGCGAAGAGUUAGACGACCUGUUAGCAGUUCUGGAAGAAGGGAUGAGAAAUCGCGCUGUGGGAUCCCAUGCCAUGAAUGAUCAUUCAUCCCGUUCGCAUACAAUGCUCACGGUGCAUAUUAUUUCAGAGCAACAAACCGAUGGUGGAGUUUUUAUUUCAAAGCAUGGAAAAAUCAAUUUUGUAGACCUGGCUGGUAGUGAACUCACCAAGAAAACGCUAAGUGAAGGCAAAACUCUGGAAGAAGCUAAUAAUAUAAAUAAAAGUUUGAUGGUUUUAGGUUAUUGCAUUGCGUCAUUGAGCGACGGCAAAAAAAGAUUUGGUCACAUUCCCUACCGGGAUAGCCAACUAACUAAAUUACUCGCUGACAGUUUAGCUGGAAAUGGUGUUACACUGAUGAUCGCUUGUGUAUCUCCAGCGCAAUAUAAUCACGCCGAAACCUUGAACACCUUACGUUAUGCUUCAAGGGCCAAACGUAUUCGUACGAAACCUGUCAUUAUGAUGGAUCCACGUGAGGCACUCAUCCUUAGUCUAAAACGUGAUAUAAACGCUUUAGUAAUGGAAAAUGAUCAUCUCAAGUCCGCACUCAAUUUGCACCAUGAAUCGCUCAAGACUCCGAAUGAAAAACACCAGAAUGGAGAAUUAUUAGAAAUGCAUCUUGAGCGUGUUGGCACAGGUGGCAUGGCAGUACCAAAGGUUGAUUUGGAACGUUUGGCAGAGCUGGAUGGCAAUGAACUAGCGGAACUAGUGAAAUUAUAUAUGCAAGAAAAUGAGUCAUUGAGACAGGAAAACAAUCACCUAUUUACAGUCCGCGAAACCAUACUCAGGGACCAAGAAAUCGUAUGUCGAGAAAAUGAACGAUUGUUAAAAAAGCUUGAGGAUGUUAAUAAAUCGAGAUUCGAGGUGUCGAACAUUGAGCCGGACACAUAUUAGAGAGCCAAAAUAGCAAAAGAAUGACGAAAACGCACAAACAACUCUUUAACAUACUCCUAUACAUACAUACAUACAUAUAUACCCACAAUCAUACAUUUUACAUACUUUUCAAGGCCAAAAUUGGAAUAUAUCUACAUUAUUGCCCGUUUGUCCUCUAAGGAUAUUUGUGUUGUUGUGCAGAUGUUGCAUUAUAAAUAUGGAUGUGUUUGUAUAUUUUUUGAGCUAUUUUUUAGUUUAUAAGAAAUAAACUAAUUAAAAAAAAACAUUUUGAAGUAAUAAUUACCUUCGUGUCAAAGAUGAAAUUACUGAUUAUACUACUCCUAUCAAGGGUUUGUGUGCGCUCACCUCUAAUACCCGCCCGUUCCGCACUAACAGCCGAAUCUGGAAAUGGCACAGCAGGAUCCGAGAUUUGGACAAAUCCUCACGAUGUACCUGUCAACCAGCGCCCCGCUGAAAUGGAAGGCAGGAUAUCGGAGAAUAAAGAUAAGCGCUCUGAUGAGGACCAACGUAUAAUCGAUCAACAACGCAUUGCAAAAAAUAUUAUGUUGAUGGCCAGUUCAUUUCCGAAAAGGCCUAAUGAGAUAUACAAAGAUGGACACCAAACUGAAGAAAGGACAAACGACAAACCGAAAACAUCCCAAGCAGAUUAUAUGCCAGACAUGCUUAUAUGAACAAAUAAACACCUCAGUUAAUGUCGUUAUAUUAUAUACGAGUAUGUGAUAUAGAUUUGGUGUAAGACACAUCGUCUAUUAAGUACAAAAAGAAAAGAAUACCUGAAACUACUCAAAAGCUAUAUAUGUACAUAUAUAUUACUAAAUAUCUAAAUACUAUCUCUACUAUAUACUGUAUUUAAGUUGGAAAAUGAGAUCUGCUAUAACGGAAAAUUGAUACAUAGUACACAUACGAAAUACAAGCUUUAUGCUUAUAAUUUCUGUAUAUUUACUGAGCUCUGGAGAAAGUAUGCAUCCUCUGGGUUUUGGAAUUAAAUUUUAAUUUAAAGUGUAAUUACAGUUGUUGCUUAAAUUUGCAGACAAUGAUAUUUUCAAACAGAAAACCAAAUCUUAAUAUGUAAAUAUAUUUCGAAAUAUUCAAAUAAAUGGAAUUGUUUUUGUUGGAAGG